rnacentral:rRNA from 1 species
AUUGAACGCUGGCGGCAUGCUUUACACAUGCAAGUCGAACGGCAGCACGGGCUUCGGCCUGGUGGCGAGUGGCGAACGGGUGAGUAAUAUAUCGGAACGUACCCAAGAGUGGGGGAUAACGUAGCGAAAGUUACGCUAAUACCGCAUACGAUCUAAGGAUGAAAGCAGGGGACCGCAAGGCCUUGUGCUCCUGGAGCGGCCGAUAUCUGAUUAGCUAGUUGGUGAGGUAAAGGCUCACCAAGGCGACGAUCAGUAGCUGGUCUGAGAGGACGACCAGCCACACUGGAACUGAGACACGGUCCAGACUCCUACGGGAGGCAGCAGUGGGGAAUUUUGGACAAUGGGCGCAAGCCUGAUCCAGCAAUGCCGCGUGAGUGAAGAAGGCCUUCGGGUUGUAAAGCUCUUUUGUCAGGGAAGAAACGGCAGUGGCUAAUAUCCACUGCUAAUGACGGUACCUGAAGAAUAAGCACCGGCUAACUACGUGCCAGCCGCCGCGGUAAAAC